UGAAACUCUACCCCAUGUUAGCUCUCAUG
rnacentral:piRNA from 1 species